rnacentral:rRNA from 1 species
CACGUAGGGGGCAAGCGUUGUCCGGAAUUAUUGGGCGUAAAGAGCUCGUAGGCGGCUCGGUAAGUCAGGUGUCAAAUCCUCAGGCUCAACCUGGGGCUCCACCUGAUACUGCUGUGGCUAGAGUCCGGUAGGGGAGCGUGGAAUUCCUGGUGUAGCGGUGAAAUGACGCAGAUAUCAGGAGGAACACCGGUGGCGAAGGCGGGUCUCUGGGCCGAUACUGACGCUGAGGAGCGAAAGCGUGGGGAGCGAACAGG